rnacentral:lncRNA from 1 species
UUAGCUUUCACUUUCAUUUGGUGGAAAUGAGGCAUGUUUCUAAGCUGAUAUAGUCAGUGUCCAUGGGAUGGACCCGGCAGGUGGCAAGACAAACUAUGCAAAAGGAUCGUGAUGGAACCCUCAAAUAUGAAGGUGAAAAGAACUGCACAGGCAGCGAAGUCUGGCCCUGUCACCCAGGCUGGAGUGUAGGUGCAUGAUCUUGGCUCACUGCAAUCUCUGCCUCAUGGGUUCUCACAUUCUCCUGCCUCAGCCUCCCGAGUAGCUGGGACUAGAGGCACCCACCACCAUGCUUGGCUAAUUUUUUGUAUUUUUUCAUAGAGACGGGGUUUCACCAUGUUAGCCAGGAUGGUCUCGAUCUGCUGACCUCGUGAUCCGCAUGCCUCUGCCUCCCAAAGGGCUGGGAUUACAGGCGUGAACCACAGUGCCCGGCCUGAAAUCUUGAAAUAAAUGAAAAACGAGCUAAUCGCUGAACAAAAAAAUAAAAAAUCACUGUGGAAUGACAAGAACAUUCUACAAACAUUUAUAUGUGAUUUUUGCAAAAAGUGUUAAUGCCAAUGUGUAUAUGCUGAGUGAUGAGGAGAUAAGUGAUCCUGAAUCAGAGGAGCAAAUCGUGACACUGAGAAAAUAAAUGCAAAAGCUGAACGUAGAAUGCUAUACCAUGUGUCUUUAAUGCAACACAUUAUAAUAAUUUAUAUCAUUACAUUACAAAUAUUCACCAUGUUCUUUAAUAUGUCCUGUCACUGAGAAGGUAAAAAGUUUGGAUGAGAGUUCAGCUGAAUGUAGAACUGACAUCUCAGCAGUGAAAGUGUUAUGAAUUGAUCAGCUUGGAUAUAUACUUAGAGAAUAAUACUAAAUAUAAAUAUCCACUAAUUUUCACACCCAUAUGGCAUAACGGUAUGCCAACAUUUUUGUACUUUGUAGCUUAGCCAUC